UACGUAGGGCGCAAGCGUUGUCCGGAAUUAUUGGGCGUAAAGAGCUCGUAGGCGGUUUGUCGCGUCUGUCGUGAAAGCUUGGGGCUUAACCCCAAGUCUGCGGUGGAUACGGGCAGACUAGAGGCAGGUAGGGGAGAACGGAAUUCCCGGUGUAGCGGUGAAAUGCGCAGAUAUCGGGAGGAACACCGGUGGCGAAGGCGGAUCUCUGGGCCUUGCCUGACGCUGAGGCGCGAAAGCUAGGGGAGCGAACAGG
rnacentral:rRNA from 1 species